rnacentral:lncRNA from 1 species
UCCUCACUUCACUAAUAAUUAAUUUUGAAUUCAUAAAUCCAUUAUAUAGUUAAAAAAAAGAAAUUAAAUAAAUAUUGACUUGACCCACUUUGACUAAACAUUUAUGUUUCUUACUUACACCCUGUGCUCUGCUGCAUCUUCUUUGGUGCUUCUUCCUUCUUCAUGCAUCUCUUUUGCCCAUUCCUGAGAAAGCGCCAACCCUUUUCCUUCACCAAUUACUUCCCUCCAUCAUGCAAGGAAACUAUUAACUCCAACAAAUAAAUAUAUAUUUAUAUAACAAUGUUCAAACAAACAUCUUUCUUAUUAUUCUUAUUUUUCGUACCCGAGGACACAUGGUGAAAGAGGAAACGAUGUUGCUUUUUCUGCACUGUCACGCAUCCACUGCCCAAUUCAGAAACAAAUAAUGGGACUCACGUUCCCUUCACUCCCUGUCAAUCAUUGAUUUGGAGUUGCAACAUCAUUAACUGUUCAAAUUAUUAUUAUUAUUAUUAUCAUCAUUCUGCAACAAAUGUUGUGAAGAAGUGAAAGGGAGUUCCGACCAUACCCCACUCUCGCAGACACUUGCACAUGUUUAAGGAGUCUUAGUGCCAUAACCAAAGUACCAAAAAAUAAAAGCCUACAAGAAAACAAACCUUUCAAAAGACGCACUGCUUCACAUCCUCUCCUCCUUCCCACUUUCUUUCUUGUCAGAGCUCCAACUUCAUGUUAGAUUAUGUUAAGUUACCAUAUACCCAUAGGUUUAUAAUUUUUGCCAAACAUACACAACCCAUUAUGGGGACAUUUUUUUAUGUGCAAUCAAUUCCACCCAUCUUUUAAAGCCUCUUUCUUUCUCUCCCAGCCAAAAGGAGGAAAAAAUUCCUUGCAUCAGAAACCGAAUUUGGCUGAAGAGAUGGCCCGGAUUAGUGUUCGGAUUAGACAUCUCUCUACUCGCUAAAACAACACCCUGUAUUUUAGGUCACAUUUACAUCAACUUUCUCUAAAGCGCAAUACUUUCCACCUGUAUCAGAAUCUGUGAUCUUCUUCUGAUGUUAACAUGUACACAUAUUUUACAUACAUAAAACAAACCACAAAAACCUGUAUAUUUUUUAUUAUUGGAUUUGGU